rnacentral:rRNA from 1 species
CAACUCUUAGCGGUGGAUCACUCGGCUCGUGCGUCGAUGAAGGACGCAGCUAGCUGCGAGAACUAAUGUGAAUUGCAGGACACAUUGAUCAU